CUUUUUCAGCCAGUAGGAGGAGGGGCUCCGGUCUGUGCGGUUCGGUUGAGAGGAAGUUUUUACCGUUACCAAGCAGCGGAGAAACGCCAUGGCGGCUAAACAUCAGUGUUUCAGUCAUUGACCGUUGGUGAGCUAGGUUGCCAGGCUGAAGAAGAAAGAGUGACCACUCUUCCCUCACCGCUCCUCUGAAAUGAUGUAGCCGAGAAGCUCGUGUUCUUCCCUGAAGAGGACAAACGGAAACCUCCUCUAUCAUGGCCACGUCUAGUGAUCUGCGGGAGAAGCUGCGGAACAAACGGAGGGCCCUGCAAGAGUCUUUAGGAAAAGUGAAGGAUGACACUCAGUAUUUAUCAGCAAGCCAGCACGUGGGUGAUUCUGCAGUUGGGAUGUAAUUUGCCCUUUUAACCUUGUAACAUUUUUUAACAGUGAAGCUAAUAAAGCAUAUCCAACCAUUCAAGCCAUUCAUUAACUGUAUAUUUGUUUUUGUUUUUUGGGGGGGUUUAUUUUUUGCUGACAGUUGCUUUGGAGUUAAGGUUUUUAGAUCAGAAUUAGCAAAUCCACAAAACCUGGUCUUCUAGCUACUGCUGGUGGCAUGGAUAUGAAGGACAUUCUGAUGAUUUACUUGAAAUGUCUUCUAUUUUAAUUAAUAAUUGGCUGUAACAGGUUAACUUUCAAAGGAAAUGCAUCAGUCAAUAUCACAAUUAGAAACCAGAGAAGUUAUUUUUCCUGAUGCAAAUUUCUGUUGAACUUGGAAUAUUCCAGAUAUUUACAGGGGUGAAAGUGUUUGGGUAACCAAGUUCAGUGAAUGUUGAGGGACACUAACAUGUACACCUUUCAUAAUCCAUAGGAAAUGACUCACAGUCUCAGAAAAAAGGGUACAAAACUGUCACUGGGGUGGUACCCUUUAGGGAACAUAACUGGACUAUAAUUCAUUGAAAUGAUAUUUUCUAAGUUGUAUUGACUCCACACACCUCGUCUCGUCUCCAGGGUAUUUUUAUGUUCUGUUUUAAAAUAUUAGGAUCUGAAAAUGUACAAAUACGUGCUUUUCAUCUGAGGCAAAGAGCUUCCCGUAUUUAAGGUAUACAAUUGGAC
ensembl:lncRNA